rnacentral:lncRNA from 1 species
UCCAUUUUAUUUUAUUUUAAAGAUUUAUUUUGUGCUUGUUAAAUCACUUCUGAGUUUGUCAUUAUUCACUCAAACAUCAAACUUUAAGAUAUACUAAAAAAAAUGUAAGUCCGAGACCCAAAAUAUAAAACCUCAUACAAUAAGAUGUGAGGUUAUUAUUUAUCAAUUUUUCUUAAUUAUAAGCAAUCAUCUUGACUUACAAAAGAGUCAUUAUUCUGAUGCCCAUUUAAUCCACAAACUAUACAACAUGAGCAUGUGUGUGUAUUAACAGUAGUGUCACAUCUACAACGACGAGCCUGAGCACCUUUAAACCUUGCAUUAAAUUCAGCAUGAAUAACAUUAUAGAAAAAAAUAUCAACAAAAAAAAAAUAUAUAUAAAAAUAAAAAUAAUAAUAAUAAUAAUAAUAAUAAUAAUAAUAUACCACAUCCAUAGCUAAGGUUUAAGAGAGCAAUCAAAGCAGCAACAAAUAGGAGAAUGCUUCCUAGCUUCAUGAUGUUAUUAACACACUCAAUAAUAUCAAAUAGAGCUUUGAAAAUGUAGGGACAAUGUAAGAG